rnacentral:rRNA from 1 species
GGCAGCAGUGGGGAAUAUUGCACAAUGGGGGAAACCCUGAUGCAGCCAUGCCGCGUGUGUGAAGAAGGCCUUCGGGUUGUAAAGCACUUUCAGCGAGGAGGAAAGGUUGGUAGCUAAUAACUGCCAACUGUGACGUUACUCGCAGAAGAAGCACCGGCUAACUCCGUGCCAGCAGCCGCGGUAAU